UACAGAGGGUGCGAGCGUUGUUCGGAAUUAUUGGGCGUAAAGGGCGCGUAGGCGGUGCGGUAAGUCACCUGUGAAAUCUCCUGGCUCAACUGGGAGCUUGCAGGCGAAACUGCCGUGCUGGAGUGUGGGAGAGGUGCGUGGAAUUCCUGGUGUAGCGGUGAAAUGCGUAGAUAUCAGGAGGAACACCUGUGGCGAAAGCGGCGCACUGGACCACAACUGACGCUGAGGCGCGAAAGCGUGGGUAGCAAACAGG
rnacentral:rRNA from 1 species